GUGCUCACUUUGGGAGCACAUAUACUAAAAUUGGAACAGUUCAGAGAAGAUUAGCAUGGCCCCUGAGUAAGGAUGACAUGCAAAUUUGUGAAGCAUUCCAUAUCUUU
rnacentral:snRNA from 1 species